CCAAAGAGCAUGCAGGGGCUGGACCUAGGCCUCUGUAGCAGAUGUGCAGCAAUGUGGUCUUCAUGUGGGCGGGUGCCAUAACCAUUUGAAGGGGGGUAGGGAUGGAGGGCUGCCUCUGACUCCGACUCUGUUCCCUGCCUUUGAAUACCAUUCCUCUAGCUGUCCUGCCUUAUUUAGCCUCAGUGGGAGAGGGUGCAGUCAGUUCUGAUGUGACUUGAUGUGCCAUGGCAGGACCAUCUGCCCAGCAUGGGAUCACCUGCAGUGGGCUGGACCUUCCCACAUCCAUCUAAUCAAGACAAUACCACCAACAGACUUGCCUACUGGCAAAUCUAAUGAAGGCAUUUUUUUUCUCAGCUAAGAUUCCCUUUUCUCAGAUGACUGUAUCUUGCAUCGAGCUGACAAGGAAACAAAAAACCAAUCAAAACAAAGCAAAACGAAAUGGGGCAUCUUUAUUUCAUAGAUUGGGUUUGGAUUUAAAUUCAUACUAUUUCUCAGUGUUCAUACUAUUUCUCAGAAGGCAAAACUUUACCACUAGAAAGCAAACUAUUGUCAAGUACUACAGUAUCAUCUUUGGGGUUUUGUGGGGAUUUUUCAAACGGUAAAAGGGAAAGCAAUCAGCCACAUUCAGAAGUCUGAAUCAAUGUUUCUUUACUAGCAACAAACCAGACUAGACCUCCUUAAAUAAACCCCCAAGGAAAACAGCUGCCUUCUUGGUAACACAGAGUGGCUUCCUCACUUUUAAUCAGUGUUACAGUUACAAAAGCAUUUUCUACAUCAUAUUUUUCCUAAGAAUGAUUAUUGUCUUAAAGAUAAAGAACCAAAGACCCACAGCAUGUUUAUGCCUUGCUAUAUCAUAUAAUUCACAGUGACUGCACUUUUUUAUAUAUGAGGUGCCUCCAAGUUACCAUUUAUAUUUGUCUGAUCAUGGUUGGUGAGAGGAACUCGAGUUUGCAGCAAGCAAAUGGGCUCUUUAUAGCCUCUAUUUAAGGCUAAUACUCUCAGACAACAGGAAAACCACAGAGACACCACUGUUUGCAACCCAUGAUGGCCUAAUAUUAAUAUAAAAAUCUUGUACAAAUACUUAGAAAAAAUAAUUCCAUGCCCCUUGCUUCCCUCUGAGAAAAAAGUAUAUCAACCACAUAGAUCAGGUCCAUUCCAGUCAGAAUUUGGAAAAAUUGAAAUGAGUAGCAGAUUUUAACAAGGGCUUGUGCUUUGGAAGUUCUGUGGGCACUAACAGAACUGUAAUCAGCCUGCUGACCAAUAGAC
ensembl:lncRNA